rnacentral:pre_miRNA from 1 species
AGGGGAAUAGCUGGGUCAAAUGGUGUUCCAUUCCCAGAUUUCCAAGGAAUCUCCAUACUGCUUUCCAAAUUGGCUACACCAAUUUUCAGUCCCACCAGCAAU